UACGAAGGGGGGCUAGCGUUGCUCGGAAUCACUGGGCGUAAAGGGUGCGUAGGCGGGUCUUUUAAGUCAGGGGUGAAAUCCUGGAGCUCAACUCCAGAACUGCCUUUGAUACUGAGGAUCUCGAGUUCGGGAGAGGUGAGUGGAACUGCGAGUGUAGAGGUGAAAUUCGUAGAUAUUCGCAAGAACACCAGUGGCGAAGGCGGCUCACUGGCCCGAUACUGACGCUGAGGCACGAAAGCGUGGGGAGCAAACAGGG
rnacentral:rRNA from 1 species